CCUACGGGAGGCAGCAGUGAGGAAUAUUUGUCAAUGGGCGCGAGCCUGAACCAGCCAAGUAGCGUGAAGGAUGACUGCCCUACGGGUUGUAAACUUCUUUUAUAAAGGAAUAAAGUGAGGCACGUUUGCCUUUUUGUAUGUACUUUAUGAAUACGGCUCGGCUAACUCCGUGUCAGAAGCCGCGGUAAUACGGAGGAUCUGAGAGUUAUCCGGAUUUAUUGGGGUUAAAGGGAGCGUAGAUGGGUUGUUAAGUCAGUUGUGAAAGUUUGCGGCUCAACCGUAAAAUUGCAAUGGAUACUGGCAGCCUUGAGUACAGUUGAGGUAGGCGGAAUUCGUGGUGGAGCGGUGAAAUGCUUAGAUAUCACGAAGAACUCCGAUUGCGAAGGCAGCCUACUAAACUGCCACUGACAUUGAUGCUCGAAAGUGUGGGUAUCAAACAGGAAUAGAUACCCCGGUAGGC
rnacentral:rRNA from 1 species